GGCAGCAGGAGCUGAAGGUGCUGCUGAAGCGCUGGGAAGCGGAAUUCCUGCGGGAACGGCGAGGAAACCCAGCCAGUGCUGACAAGAACAGGAGGAGAGCAAGGCUACAAGGUGAGGUCAGGAGCUGGAGUGUGCAAACAGGAUGCAAGGACAAAGGUAGUACAGGAUAAGGGGGUCCUCAGACCCCUGAAACCAGGAAAAAUGGUAUCAAAGUCGGGAAGAUGACCAAAGGAAUAAAAAGAGAGCAUGGGCAAGGAGGCAAGGUGAAGAGUUCAUCUGAGAGGAAGACUAUUUAUUUCAUCCCAAAGACCCCCAGGUGAACACCAGAGCGAGCAGAAAGGAACAAUGCGCAGCCAUAAAGAGGUGUGGAGCUAAUUUUAAUAUGAAGCAGAGACAGGCAAUGAAUGUGUAUCAGGCGUAUUGUGCAGUCCCAGUUUGUAGAGAAUAAAAGGAGAGGCGCAGGUC